GAGGGAAGCCUGGCUAAGGCCUAUUCACUUGUGGUUCCUUCUUCCUGAGAUAAGGAAUGCUCCAGAGAGGUUGCAGAAUGGAGGCCUCACCUAGGUCUCACCAGCAACGCACUCUAGCCUUGCUCUGCACAGCAGUCAGGGCAGAACUGCAUGGAAUGACUAGAUACUCAGGGCAACCCUGGACAUAAAGCCAAACGCCUGCAAAACACGGAGUCCAGAGCAGUUAGUUACCUGCCCCGCCCUGCGCUCUGGAGCUGGGAGACCCCAGAGCCGCCCAACCAGAUAAAGGCUUGCUGGCCUGCUGGGGAAGCCUGAGAAAUCACAGGGGAAGAAGGGCUGCUCUCUGCAAGCCAGGGCACCAGGGCAGCAGACUGCGAGGUGGGGAAGCAAUCUGGCUCAAAUAAACAAACCAGGAAAUGAGUGUCACCU
ensembl:antisense